GCGUGUGCGAUGAAGGCCUUCGGGUUGUAAAGCACUUUUCUGAGGGAAGAGGAAGGACGGUACCUCAGGAAUAAGUCUCGGCUAACUACGUGCCAGCAGCCGCGGUAACACGUAGGAGGCGAGCGUUAUCCGGAUUUACUGGGCGUAAAGCGCGUGCAGGCGGUUUGGUAAGUUGGAUGUGAAAGCUCCUGGCUCAACUAGGAGAUGCCGUUCAAUACUGCCAGACUAGAGGACGGUAGAGGGAGGUGGAAUUCCCGGUGUAGUGGUGAAAUGCGUAGAUAUCGGGAGGAACACCAGUGGCGAAAGCGGCCUCCUAGGCCGUACCUGACGCUAAGACGCGAAAGCAUGGGGAGCGAACGGGAUUAGAAACCCCGGUAGUCCAUGCCGUAAACGAUGCGAACUUGGUGUUGGUGGUGUAAAAGCCAUCAGUACCGAAGCUAACGCGAUAAGUU
rnacentral:rRNA from 1 species